rnacentral:lncRNA from 1 species
AUGGAAGAUUCAAUGGACAUGUACAUGAUCCCCUGAGCACCCAGAACUGUCUUUUUGGUGGUGAACUAAAGACUGACAGACUAUCACUUUAACAUGAAUAAUGAUGAAAAUGAACACCAGUUAUCUCUAAGAAUGGUCAGUUUACAUCUUGGUUAGGGACCGGUACAAGGAAUGAAUUUAAUGUUAUUGAAACAGGGAUAAUGAAUUAUGAAGGCAGCUCAAUUAAAGCAACACUGGCAAUGUUAAAAAAAAAUGUCUGUACAGCCAACUGUUUCCCUGAGAGAUUUUAAAUAGUACUAUCCAUGGUCUUAGAAUUGCAGUGUAGUUCAGACCUUGUGCAUAUUAGUAGACAGCACUUUUAGGCUGUGGAGGAAGAUGCGGAGUCAGAAGAUGAAGAGGAGGCGGAUGUGAAACUAUAAAGUAUAUCUGAAAAGUGAUCUGCCCCUGGGAGUGGUAGCAAGUUUCCACAGAGAAAAGUACAACAUACUGCUGAUGAAGAAGAAGAUGAUGACAAUAAUUUUGAUGAUAAGGAAACUGAAGAAAACUCCAGUGAAGAAAUCUAUGUAAGGUACUCCAGCCAAAAAUGCACAAAAAUCAAACCAGAAUGAAAAAGACAUAAAAUCAUUAAAACCAAGAUCAAAAGGUAAAGAAUCCUUCCAAAAAAAAAGAGGAAAAUAUUCUUACAAUACCAAAAAGACCUAGUCCUAUAGAAGACCUUAAAGCAAAAAUGUUAGCAAUAAUAGAAAAAGUAGUUCUCUUCCCAAAAUGAAAACCAUAUUCAUAAAUUGUAUAAAGAAUUGCUUCUGUAUGACUGAUCAGGAGGCUAUUCAAGAUCUCUGAAUAAGGAAAUCUCUUUAAGAAAAUA